AGAGUUUGAUCCUGGCUCAGAAUCAACGCUGGCGGCGUGCCUAACACAUGCAAGUCGAGCGAGAAAAGGGGGGCAACUCCCUGAGUACAGCGGCGCACGGGUGAGUAACACGUGGGUAAUCUGCCCUGGAGUGGGGAAUAACACCGGGAAACCGGUGCUAAUACCGCAUACGAUCACGGAGUCUGCGGAUUUUGUGAUGAAAGGAGCAAUUCGCUCUAGGAGGAGCCCGCGGCUGAUUAGCUAGUUGGUGAGGUAAUGGCUCACCAAGGCAACGAUCAGUAUCCGGUCUGAGAGGACGGUCGGACACACUGGAACUGAGACACGGUCCAGACUCCUACGGGAGGCAGCAGUGGGGAAUUUUUGGCAAUGGGGGCAACCCUGACCAAGCAACGCCGCGUGGGUGAUGAAGUCUCUUGGGACGUAAAACCCUUUC
rnacentral:rRNA from 1 species